rnacentral:rRNA from 1 species
AUGUUCAAUUCCUUUAUUAACCAGAGGGCGCUGAUUGAGCUUCCCCUUCUGGAUAGAUGCUACACUUGGUCUAGCAAAAGAGAUCAACCCACUCUCGAAAAAAUUGACCGAGUUUUCAUCAAUGUGGACUGGGAUUCCACCACCAUUUCCUCGCUCACCAGAUUCGUCUCUGACCAUGUUCCCCUGCUGAUCUCUAUAGAUACCGUCAUCCCUCGUCCCGCGCUUUUUCGUUUCGAACUUAGAUGGACCACUAGGCCGGCCUGUCUUACGGUAGUCCAAAACGCCUGGGCCGCGGCCCGCUCUUGCUCAAACCACUCGCUUUCCUUAGUGGCUGCUCUCAAACGUACUCGCGCUGACUUAAAAAUUUGGCGGCGCUCCGCUCUGCCUCUAAAUACUCGGGAGAAGAACUGCAAGACUGUCAUUUCCGUUCUCGACCUUAUCGAAGAAUCUCGUUUCCUCUCGUCUCCUGAACUGGCUCUCCGUCGUGUCAUUAUUAAAGUUCUCCAACGCACGCUUCGUGAGAAAGCCCUAUAUUGGAUCCAGCGUGGAAAAAUUUGCACCACCUUAGAAGGAGAUGAAAACUCUCGCUUCUUUCACGCGUCUGCCUUUGCCCGUCUCCGGAAAAAUAAAAUUAAUACUCUUGUCUCAAAUGGCUCGGAGUUCUUCUCCCACGAUGCUAAAUCCAACAUUCUUUCUGACUUCUACGCCUCCCUUCUCGGCACGGCCUUUCAGCCAACCUGGUCCUUCGCUCUCACGGAUUUAUACCCAGAACCCGUUCCACAACUCUGCUCUCUGGAUGCCCCCUUCACAGACGCCGAAAUCACCAAUGCCUUCCUCUCCAUGAACAAGAAUGCUAGUCCUGGACCGGACGGCUUCGGCCCAGGGUUCUACCGCAAAUUUUGGCACAUCCUCAAAGAGAAGAUAACUCAUUUCCUUUCAGACUUUCACGCCCAAAACAGCGAUAUCUCUUGCCUUAACCGGGCCCUCAUAAUCCUCCUUCCAAAGCAUCCCGAUGCUCGCUCCCCCGCUGACUUCCGCCCCAUCUCUCUUCAAAACUGUCCUAUCAAAGGAGUCGCAAAACUUCUAACCAACAGGCUAAAACCCCUUAUCCCCCUCUUGGUGCAUGCUGACCAGACCGGUUUCCUGUCUGGUCGUAACAUCUCUGAGAACUUCCUCUACGCUGCAGAUAUCCUUCACUGUUGUGCAAAAAGGAAAACCCCCUCCCUCAUAAUCAAACUAGACUUUCGGAAAGCUUUUGACUCUGUUUGCUGGAAGACCCUCCUCCAUACCCUUCAGGUUAGAGGUUUCCCCCCUCGGUUGUGCGACUGGAUUAACUCUCUCCUUAACACUGGAUCCACUACCGUUAUGCUAAAUGGCAUCCCGGGGAGGUGGAUUCAAUGCAAAAAUGGCCUCCGGCAGGGCGACCCUCUCUCCCCUUACCUUUUCAUUAUUGUCGCCGAUAUCCUCCAACGAAUGAUCAUCAAAGCCAACAGUGAAGGUAAGUUGUUGCACCCCCUAAGCCCUCGCCUUCCCUGUCCCGUCCUUCAAUACGCCGAUGACACGCUUAUCAUAGUUAAAGCUACGCCCGGGGCCGCAAAACACCUUAAGAGUAUUCUAGAUAGCUUCGCUGCGGCCACUGGUCUCCAGAUUAAUUUUGACAAGACCACCUUUAUCCCUCUUAAUGUUGAUCCCACUAACGCAGCUCUUAUGGCAGCUGACCUUGCCACUAACAUCUCCUCCUUCCCGCAAACUUAUCUCGGCCUUCCUCUCUCUCCCUACAAACUCCCCCCCUCGGCCUUCCAUCCAGUCAUCGAUCGGUGUGAUAUCUACCUAGCUGGGUGGUGCGCGCUACUUCUCUCUCGUGGUGGCAAGCUUGUUCUCCUCUCCGCCGUUCUUGACAGCCUCCCUACCUAUUUUCUGCACUGUUUCGCUCUUCCUGUCCAGGUUAUUGAAGCUAUCGACAAGAGACGACGUACCUUUUUCUGGUCUAACGACGACACUUGCUCUGGGGCAAAAUGCCUGGUUGCUUGGGAUAAAGUUUGUAUCCCUAGAGAAGCUGGUGGUCUAGGUGUAAAAAACCUUCGCGCACAAAACUUUUGUCUACUGCUGAAAUUUGCUUAUAAAUUUUUACACUCCUCAAACCUUCCUUGGAAGGAUUGGGUCUUACACCAUUCGCCUCUUCACAUUGGACAUGGCAAAAACAGCUCUUUCCUAGCUAAAACCAUUUUCAAGCAUCUUCAGAGUUUGAGAGAGAUUUCCCAGUGCACUGUUGGAGAUGGUUGCUCUACUUUUUUUUGGUUAGAUCAUUGGCUAAAGCCGGAACCCCUGGCUUUAGUGUACCCAGCUCUUUUUUCUCACCACACAAACCAACAUGGCCUGGUAGUCACUAUUUUGCAGGAUGGGAUCGAACUUGCUCUUCGUAAUCGACUAACCUCUACUGCGAUUGCAGAACUUGCUUCUCUUAAUUCCUUGUUGCAGGACUGUGCACUCUCUCAGGUACCGGACGAUCGUCGCCUGCUUAACGGCGCUGCCUUUUCCACAAAGGGCGCAUAUGCGGCCCUCUCGGAUCACCUCUCGGACCCCAUGCUUAAUGAUAUUUGGGACUCAAUGGUUCCCAAGAAGGUUAUGAUCUUCGGUUGGCUAUUCUACCUUGAUCGCCUAAACACCAGGAAGAAUCUGCAUAAGAAGAACAUUCUGGACUCUUCAGCUUGUCCUAGAUGUACUCACUCGGUUGAGGAUCGACAACACCUUUUUUUUACUUGUCCAACAACUCGCAAGAUCUGGAGAGCAGCCGGCAUCUGCCCUCUUUACACUCCUAUCACAAGUCUCUUCAGCACGACGCUUCCGGAUCCGCUGCCUACCACGGUCCGCCCCUUCAUGCUCCUUUUGAUUCUUUGGAAAAUCUGGGACGCACGCAACAAGAAAGUUUUCCAAGGACUAGAUGUUGUGGCCUCAAACUCAUUGAGAGCUAUCCUGGAUGAUUUGAUUGUUUGGUCUCAUAGACUAAAAUCUGUAACUUUAAAGGGCCACGCCGGUCUGUGGCGUGAGUUCCUAUCCUCGCAACACUCUUAA